GCCUGCGGAGGGAUCAUUACAAGUGACCCCGGUUUACCACCGGGAUGUUCAUAACCCUUUGUUGUCCGACUCUGUUGCCUCCGGGGCGACCCUGCCUUCGGGCGGGGGCUCCGGGUGGACACUUCAAACUCUUGCGUAACUUUGCAGUCUGAGUAAACUUAAUUAAUAAAUUAAAACUUUUAACAACGGAUCUCUUGGUUCUGGCAUCGAUGAAGAACGCAGCGAAAUGCGAUAAGUAAUGUGAAUUGCAGAAUUCAGUGAAUCAUCGAAUCUUUGAACGCACAUUGCGCCCCCUGGUAUUCCGGGGGGCAUGCCUGUUCGAGCGUCAUUUCACCACUCAAGCCUCGCUUGGUAUUGGGCAACGCGGUCCGCCGCGUGCCUCAAAUCGACCGGCUGGGUCUUCUGUCCCCUAAGCGUUGUGGAAACUAUUCGCUAAAGGGUGCUCGGGAGGCUACGCCGUAAAACAACCCCAUUUCUAAGGUUGACCUCGGAUCAGGUAGGGAUACCCGCUGAACUUAAGCAUAUCUAAGACCGGAAGGAAA
rnacentral:rRNA from 1 species